rnacentral:rRNA from 1 species
CCGAUGGCGACCGGCGCACGGGUGAGUAACACGUAUCCAACCUGCCGAUAACUCGGGGAUAGCCUUUCGAAAGAAAGAUUAAUAUCCGAUAGGAUAUCAAGGUCGCAUGAUCUUGAUAUUAAAGAAUUUCGGUUAUCGAUGGGGAUGCGUUCCAUUAGUUAGUUGGCGGGGUAACGGCCCACCAAGACGACGAUGGAUUGGGGUUCUGAGAGGAAGGUCCCCCACAUUGGAACUGAGACACGGUCCAAACUCCUACGGAAGGCAGCAG